GCACUAGAACUAACAUUGUACAGCUCACUGAAAUAACUCUUCAAUUCUAGUGCUCGGUGAAGGCACGCAAAGUACAAGGAGCAAACAAGCUGGCUCACAUAUGAACAAACAUCAUUCGAACCAACUAGUCAUUCACAUUUACACAGUAUCAAAAGGAAAUAUGGAUUUAAUUUAGACUUCUGGUUCAAGAGAUACAAAAGAUUGAAAAUGGAAAAUCAAUAGAAAAAUGGGGUCGGUUACCCCGCACCUGCGUGCCCCAAAUCCUUUUCCUGAAAGACACACAAUGCAUGCGACAGCAUGAAGAUGCCAAGUUAUUGAUACAUGCUUGUGUUUCUUUCUUUGCUUUGAUCUCAGUCACUUCGUCACCCAGGGCGACGAAUUCUUAUUCCUCACACCUCCUCGCCAAAUGCAUAUGCGCGCAGGCAUAGCAGUCAAUACACAUACAAGCAACCCUGAUGUCGCCGAUGAGCGCGUCUGAAAUGGACCAUGCAGGAGACUCAUAGGGAUGAAACGUGGCUGGAGACUGGCAGUAACGACAUCCAAUGGCACAGCCAUCACGACAGCGCUGUUCAGGAGUUGUGUAGACUAUAACCUUUAAAAGGAAAUACUUGAGGCAAGUGCAGGCAGUCGACCUCUCCUUGCAUGGCUCCCAAAAGAAAUGAUUUAAAAUCCCCCAGCGCGUAUUGAUCAUCCGAACGUCAGGCAACAUACAGAAGUGUUGCCAGCAGCUGCUAUUCACCCAGCACCGACAACUCUUGUUCCACCCCUAUCAUAUAGUUCUAUUCUGAUACCUCCUAACCCUAGAUUGACCAGCUUUCGUGGACAUAUUGAACGAGCAUACAUUGUAGGUGAUUAUUGCACGAAUCUGCAAAAGUAAGGUAAUUUUAUGAGAUCUCAUCAACUAGACCUGUGUGUAUGUAAUUUUAUGAGAUCAGCAAACUUUAAUGGAGCUCCCUCGAACCAGCUGAUGUCUUCUAUGGGACGCUGCCCCAUGAAUGUCCCCUGCCUCCGCAUGUGCACCGUGAUUUCCUAGAUAUGACGUGGGUCCUCUCGUUCCAUCUACUAGAGGAAAAUUGUAUAGGCAGACUGACUC
rnacentral:lncRNA from 1 species